rnacentral:tRNA from 1 species
GGGCCCGUAGCUCAGCUUGGAUAGAGUGGCAGACUUCUAAUCUGUCGGUCGCGGGUUCAAAUCCCGCCGGGCCCG